AUACCUGUUGUGAUCUCCUGAAAUGAUUAAUUGUUGAUGUUUCUUCUUACAUUGUUUUCUGGCUGUUUGCCAGGACUAGAAAGCUGUAACUGGUGAACUGACUGGUUCACUGGAAUUUCAGAUACUCAUGUCAAAAAAGAAACACAUCAAAACUUCUUCAUCCCAAACUCCCAUUGACCAAACAUUAACCGCAAGGUUUUGUUUACGAGUUUACGUUUACUUUACAACUUAUUAUUUGCUAAAUUUAUUUUAAAAUAGUUAUUGGAAAAAAUGUUCCUGCCGUUCCGUCCAGACUCCAGACGUCUGAAUGCUAAGGAAUAUGUCGGAUAUCACUAGGUGGCUAAAAUUAUGUCUGCUAGAUGGCGCGAGUGUCUUCGUUACUCAAAACGAAAUUCCGCCAUUUUAUAACACUGAUUGACUGAUUGACACUGAUUGAAAACGUAUCGUUGGAUUGGAUACUUAAUACGCCGUACUUUUCUUUCUUGAAAUUUUUAUUCGUAAAAAUGGUAUUUAUCUGGUAGUAACAGCCUAUAAUUUCUACAUGGCAAAAUCGGGUGGCCUGAGCAGCUGAACAUUUUGCCAAAAUGUCGUCUCUUUUUUUCUGUACCAGCUCCACGUUUGUCAGAAACACUUCAGAACAAUUCGGGAUUAACACCCUGGUGGAGUUUGAGCUUCUUUGUUGCUGCCCAACUUUCACAUGGAUUUGACGCAGCCAGCUGAGGGCUUUAAUUCUUGUUUAGCGUUUAUGUUCGCGCAGUUGCUUUCCGAUGUGGCACGUUGCUGCAGCCUAUACUGGUGAAAGAUCUUUCUACAUCAAGUUCAAUUGGCCGUUCCUUGGUGCUGGUGUCGUGUUACCGAAGUUGCAUCAUUAUUUUGUUAAAUUGUCAUCGUU